rnacentral:rRNA from 1 species
AUUGAACGCUGGCGGCAGGCUUAACACAUGCAAGUCGAGCGGUAGCAUUUCUAGCUUGCUAGAAGAUGACGAGCGGCGGACGGGUGAGUAACGCGUAGGAAUCUGCCGAGUAGUGGGGGAUAGCCCAGAGAAAUUUGGAUUAAUACCGCAUACGCCCUACGGGGAAAGGAGGGGAGUCUUCGGACCUUCCGCUAUUCGAUGAGCCUGCGUGAGAUUAGCUUGUUGGUGAGGUAAAGGCUCACCAAGGCGACGAUCUCUAGCUGGUCUGAGAGGAUGAUCAGCCACACUGGGACUGAGACACGGCCCAGACUCCUACGGGAGGCAGCAGUGGGGAAUAUUGCACAAUGGGGGAAACCCUGAUGCAGCCAUGCCGCGUGUGUGAAGAA